rnacentral:rRNA from 1 species
AGAGUUUGAUCCUGGCUCAGGAUGAACGCUAGCUACAGGCUUAACACAUGCAAGUCGAGGGGAAACGAUAUUGGAAGCUUGCUUCCGAUAGGCGUCGACCGGCGCACGGGUGAGUAACGCGUAUCCAACCUGCCCAUCACUUGGGGAUAACCUUGCGAAAGUAAGACUAAUACCCAAUGACGUCUCUAGAAGACAUCUGAAAGAGAUUAAAGAUUUAUCGGUGAUGGAUGGGGAUGCGUCUGAUUAGCUUGUUGGCGGGGUAACGGCCCACCAAGGCGACGAUCAGUAGGGGUUCUGAGAGGAAGGUCCCCCACAUUGGAACUGAGACACGGUCCAAACUCCUACGGGAGGCAGCAGUGAGGAAUAUUGGUCAAUGGACGAGAGUCUGAACCAGCCAAGUAGCGUGCAGGAUGACGGCCCUAUGGGUUGUAAACUGCUUUUAUAAGGGAAUAAAGUGGGAGUCGUGACUCCUUUUGCAUGUACCUUAUGAAUAAGGACCGGCUAAUUCCGUGCCAGCAGCCGCGGUAAUACGGAAGGUCCGGGCGUUAUCCCGAUUUAUUUGGGUUUAAAGGGAGCGUAGGCCGGAAAUUUAAGCGUGUUGGAAAAUGUAGACGCUCAACGUCUGCACUGCAGCGCGAACUGGUUUCCUUGAGUACGCACAAAGUGGGCGGAAUUCGUGGUGUAGCGGUGAAAUGCUUAGAUAUCACGAAGAACUCCGAUUGCGAAGGCAGCUCACUGGAGCGCAACUGACGCUGAAGCUCGAAAGUGCGGGUAUCGAACAGGAUUAGAUACCCUGGUAGUCCACGCCGUAAACGAUGAAUACUAGGUGUAGGGGCCCCAAGCCUCUGUGCCGCCGCUAACGCAUUAAGUAUUCCGCCUGGGGAGUACGGUCGCAAGAUUAAAACUCAAAGGAAUUGACGGGGACCCGCACAAGCAGCGGAGCAUGUGGUUUAAUUCGAAGCAACGCGAAGAACCUUACCUAGACUUGACAUGUCCUGAAUUACCAGUAAUGUGGGAAGUUCCUUCGGGAACAGGAACACAGGUGGUGCAUGGUUGUCGUCAGCUCGUGUCGUGAGAUGUUGGGUUAAGUCCCGCAACGAGCGCAACCCUUAUUGUUAGUUGGUACCAUUAAGUUGACCACUCUAGCGAGACUGCCCGGGUUAACCGGGAGGAAGGUGGGGAUGACGUCAAAUCAUCAUGCCCCUUAUGUCUAGGGCUACACACGUGCUACAAUGGCAAGUACAAAGAGAAGCAAUACUGUGAAGUGGAGCAAAACUCAAAAACUUGUCUCAGUUCGGAUUGUAGGCUGAAACUCGCCUACAUGAAGCUGGAAUCGCUAGUAAUCGCAGAUCAGAAUGCUGCGGUGAAUACGUUCCCGGGUCUUGUACUCACCGCCCGUCAAG